rnacentral:rRNA from 1 species
AGCUCCAUUAGCGUAUAUUAAAGUUGUUGCAGUUAAAAAGCUCGUAGUUGGAUUUCAGUACGGGCCAGUUGGUCGGCCGCAAGGCCUGUUACUGGCUGGUCUGUUCUUCUUGUCAAAGACUGCGUGUGCUCUUCGUUGAGUGUGCGUAGGAUUUGGGACGUUUACUUUGAAAAAAUUAGAGUGUUCAAGGCAGGCUUUUCAGCUUGAAUACAUGAGCAUGGAAUAAUGGAAUAGGACUACGGUCCCUAUUUCGUUGGUUUCGAGGACCGAAGUAAUGAUUAAUAGGGAUAGUCAGGGGCACUCGUAUUCCGUAGAGAGAGGUGAAAUUCUUAGACCCACGGAAGACGAACUACUGCGAAAGCAUUUGCCAGGGAUGUUUUCACUGAUCAAGAACGAAAGU